GCUUAAAGUAGCUUAUAUAAAGCGUUGUUUUGAAGAAACAUAUAAAAUAUUAAUAAUUCUAAAGCG
rnacentral:tRNA from 1 species